AUGGAGCGCAUGGCGACAUCCUACUUCAAGGAGGUUUAUACUAAGGACCCGACGUUGUCCCCGGCUGAGGUCUUGGGGGGUAUAGUUCCUAAAGUUACUGAAGCAAGGAACGAAUCUCUGUGCGCACCCUUUUUAGAGGAGGAAGUAUCCAAUGCUCUAUUCCAAAUUGGUCCUAUCAAGGCUCCUGGUACCGAUGGUCUUCCAGCUAGGUUCUUUCAAAGAAACUGGGUUGUGUUGAAGACAGAUAUCAUUGCAGUGGUGUUGGACUUCUUCAAGUCUGGAAUAAUGCCGGAUGGUGUGAAUGAUACGGCUAUCGUUCUUCCCAAAAGUACAUCAUCCAAAGGAGCUAAAGGACUUCAGGCCGAUAAGCCUCUGCAAUGUGUUAUACAAGAUAGUUUCUAA
rnacentral:rRNA from 1 species